rnacentral:rRNA from 1 species
AUUGAACGCUGGCGGCAUGCCUUACACAUGCAAGUCGAACGGUAACAGGUCUUCGGACGCUGACGAGUGGCGAACGGGUGAGUAAUACAUCGGAACGUGCCCAGUCGUGGGGGAUAACUACUCGAAAGAGUAGCUAAUACCGCAUACGAUCUGAGGAUGAAAGCGGGGGACCUUCGGGCCUCGCGCGAUUGGAGCGGCCGAUGGCAGAUUAGGUAGUUGGUGGGAUAAAAGCUUACCAAGCCGACGAUCUGUAGCUGGUCUGAGAGGACGACCAGCCACACUGGGACUGAGACACGGCCCAGACUCCUACGGGAGGCAGCAGUGGGGAAUUUUGGACAAUGGGCGAAAGCCUGAUCCAGCAAUGCCGCGUGCAGGAUGAAGGCCUUCGGGUUGUAAACUGCUUUUGUACGGAACGAAAAAGCUUCUCCUAAUACGAGAGGCCCAUGACGGUACCGUAAGAAUAAGCACCGGCUAACUACGUGC